CUUCCAAAAUGGCGUGUAAAUGUGAGAGUGAAAGAGAGCGGGAAUGUCCCAUAACAAUAUCAAAUCAUUGUAGCAGUCACAAGUGUUCGUUCCCCUCUGCCACGUCAGUGCAAAGGCACGUUC